rnacentral:lncRNA from 1 species
GUUGAGCGCGGUGUGAAAAGGGAGGAAUAUCGGCGGCCUCGGCACUUGUCUGCAGGUGAUGGCAGCUGGGUCUGCUCGUUGAGUCUCCUGCCCGGAGGCCCAGCUGCUUGAACGUUGUGAACGUUUGACGCACCCCUCGGGGGAGAUGGAGCGGGGGUAACGCAGCGCGCUGGUGCCCGGGGCGUCGGGAGUCGGGCCGGGUUCGAAUCCCCCUCGAGGGCAGAUGGGAGGUUUCAGGUGGACAGUACUGAAAAUUGGAGUUCGAGUUCGGGGACACCAGUGUUCGAGACUGGGCUCUGCCAGUCCGCUCCCGAGGUGAUGUUUUCUUGCCCAGGGAAGGGGCGACAGUGAAAAUUCACCGCAGGCUUCAUGACUGCAUAAUGCGACCAGAAACGGGGCUGCACCGGACCGCCGCCCCCUGCCAGGCUCCCCACGGGUGACCAGUGGCCAAGUACGCCAAUAUUACAUUUUUUUUUAGUAAUCACAUAUUUUUAUUUUAAAAAAUAUUCUUGAUAUUUAUAUAUACACAUAAAUAUGUUGUUGAUAGACCUUUAUUUUGCUCCUACCCGGUGCUGAGAGUGGAGCCCCGGGCCUCCCACGUGCAAGGCAAGCGCUGCACCACGGAGCCACCCCCUCAGCCCCAGUAAUCACAUAUGUGUACAAGGAAAGAAAAGGGUCAGGUGAAAUUCGUACUUUAUUUAAUCCAGUAUCACCAAAAUGUGAUUUCAGCGUGUGAUCAGUAUUAAACAAUGUUGAUGAAGAUGUCUUGCAUCCUUUUACUCAAGGGGAAGUCUUUGAGAUCCCAUGUGUCCUCCUUUUUUUUUUGUUUGUUUUGGAAUUCAACCACUGAGCUAGAUCCCCAGCCCUUUUUAUUUUUUAUUUUGAGACAGGGCCUAUCACUACAUAGCUUAGGGCCUUUGCUACAUUGCUGAAGCUGGCCUCCAACUCUAGCGUCACAACCACUCCCCAGUUCCGUGUGUCUUUUAUAUCAAAACUGUAAUCAGGCAUGUGAAUCUCCAUUUUCAUUGGAAAUAGUGGCUUUUUAGGUUUCAUAAAAUUUACAGUUGAAAAUGUAAUGUGCCCCAGCUGUUCCCAACAUAACUUAGAAAGUCUUCUGUGAGCUCAAAUUGAAUGUAGGUUUUUAUAAUUUAAAUUUCAAUUAGUUAGGAUUCUAAGUGUAGUUGAAAGUUUCAUUUUACAGUUUCACUAGCCCCAGUUGGGUGCUCAUGAGCCCCUUUGAGGAGUGGACAGUGCUGAUCUGAGUCACUCCCGGGAUGAGACAUGGUCUUCAGGACCUUGCUUCCCAUUCACCACCUGGCCCCAACUUCAAAUCAGCCAAACUAACCUUUUUGUUAAAAAUCUGACAAGGCAGGGCCAGGGGCAUAUCUCAGUGGUAGACCAUAAAAUAAAUAGUUAUAAAUCGGACAGACCACUCCCAAUGCAGAGCCUCUACCCAGAACCUCUUCUCCCAGCUGUUAGCCUUUUCAUUUAGGCCUCUCUGAUCAGAGGUCCACUUCCCAGAGUACCCCCUAAACCUUGUCUCCUUACAGGGUGUAAACCUCAGCAGCAC